GCCGAGUCAGAGCUGCCUGUCGUUGCAAGCUCGGCAACUAUCCUCAACAGACAUCCCGGCAACGCGACAAGGGUUUGGAGAUCGAGCAUUUUGAGAGAGCCUCGGUGCUAUCCUAGGCUGACGAUAUCGACGCCUGUGGGCGCCAUUUCCUCCGUGGAGGUAUCGUCACGCUGGCUCUCUCUUCCUUCAGGUGAAAAUCGGGUUCCUUUUGGAACGAGCGUUGACAACAUCCUUGAUGUUGUUUCCUUGUUGGAGACUUCGCUCAGAAGGUUUCUGCUCCACUAG
rnacentral:lncRNA from 1 species